rnacentral:rRNA from 1 species
UACAGAGGGGGCAAGCGUUGUUCGGAAUUACUGGGCGUAAAGGGCGCGUAGGCGGCCUUCUAAGUCGAAUGUGAAAGCCCCCGGCUUAACUGGGGAGGGUCAUUCGAUACUGUUCGACUUGAAGGCAGGAGAGGGCAGCAGAAUUCCCGGUGUAGUGGUGAAAUGCGUAGAUAUCGGGAGGAAUACCAGUGGCGAAGGCGGCUGCCUGGCCUGUUCUUGACGCUGAGGCGCGAAAGCUGGGGGAGCAAACGGG